ensembl:lncRNA PPP1R3B-DT PPP1R3B divergent transcript
AACCUCUUCCUUCUUUAAUCCGGUGUCCGAGGAGUUUUGUCUGCGACUCGUCCUGCUACAUUUCUUGGUUACAAAAACCUCUUCCUUCUUUAAUCCGGUGUCUGAGGAGUUUUGUUUGCGACUCGUCCUGCUACAUUUCUUGGUUCCGUGACCGGGAAGCGAGGUGAUUGAAGGACGGUCGAGGCAGCCCCUUAGGCUGCUUAGGCCUGCCCUGUGGAGCGUCCCUGCAAGGGACUCUGGCCAGCUUGAGCGACGGGCAUCCUGAGAGCGCUCCCGGGUAGGCAAUUGCCCUGGUGGAACACCUCGUCAGAGCAGUGUGUGGCAGGCCCCCGCGGAGGAUCAACGUGGUGGCUGAACACCGGGAAGGAACUGGCACUAGAAGUCUGGACGUCUGAAACUUGUAGGCUGCCUGCUAAGAAAGAGUAGACAGACCCAAUGUCCUCCGAUCAGUCUGGACUCAGUUCAUCCUUCCCCUGGUACAGAAGAGCUGCGUCAGUCAUUCUCUCUGUGAUCUACUGAUAAGAGUCCUGGACGGGGAAUUCUAAGGCCAUGGGUCUAUUCCCAGCCUUGCCACUAUGAAUGUGACCUCCAGCAGUUAGAUCCCCUGCCUGCAGCACGUGCUGAUCUCCAAGGGUGAGGCUGGAUGAAGCCAGGGGCUAUGGAAAGGGAGACUG